rnacentral:lncRNA from 1 species
CUCACUUCCCCUUCCCCUUUGAACCUUUUCUUCCUGCCCAAGGACCACUGGCUGCAGGCAGCGGUGUAAUGUUCUGAGGUUCCAAACUCAGUACCCAGAGACCAGACAAAGUAAUGGGGGCACCCAUUACCCUGUGCUGCUUUUCUUCUAUGCUUUAUGUCAAAUUUGUCUCCUAACUUUGUAAAGAAGGACUGAAUCUUGAGUUGCAAAGUAGAAAACCGUCACUUCUGCAGGGUACAAUGGUUCAGGAAGCUGAGUGUCAUGGAUUUGGACAGUGUCCCAGAGCGGGAGAAGGGGAAGUGACAGGCAUCAGUCCACGUGAUGGAUGAAGAGCCACCUGAAAGUCUGUGCAUUUCAAAAGAGAAGACAAAGGCUCAUAGGGCGGUGCAGGACAGGAUGUUGGUCCAUGGCGUCCACAGGUUCUCCUAACGCGACCAGUGGAAGAGUGAGACAUGGUUGGUCUCCCAAUUAGACAUCUGAAACUCAAAUUUCAUAUCCGCAUGCCCUAAGCUGAAUUUACUGUUUAG